rnacentral:rRNA from 1 species
CCUACGGGAGGCAGCAGUGAGGAAUAUUGGUCAAUGGCCGGAAGGCUGAACCAGCCAUGCCGCGUGAAGGGCAGAGCCCUACGGGCGUUAAACUUCUUUUGUGCGGGAGCAAUAAUGGUCACGUGUGGCCAGACGAGAGUACCGUACGAAUAAGCAGCGGCUAACUCCGUGCCAGCAGCCGCGGUAAUACGGGGGAUGCAAGCGUUAGCCGGAAUUAGUGGGGUUAAAGGGUGCGUAGGCUGUGAGGUAAGUCAGCGGGGGAAUUCCCCCGCUCAACGGGGUGAAGUGCAAGUGAUACUGGCUGGCUGGAGUGCGGAUGCCGUGGGAGGAAUGUGUGGUGUAGCGGUGAAAUGCAUAGAUAUCACACAGAACACCGAUUGCGAAGGCAUCUCACGAAUCCGCGAUUGACGCUGAUGCACGAAAGCGUGGGUAUCAAACAGGAUUAGAUACCCCUGUAGUC